CGUACACUCCUGCGGGAGGCAGCAGUGGGGAAUAUUGGACAAUGGGCGCAAGCCUGAUCCAGCCAUGCCGCGUGAGUGAUGAAGGCCCUAGGGUUGUAAAGCUCUUUCACCGGUGAAGAUAAUGACGGUAACCGGAGAAGAAGCCCCGGCUAACUUCGUGCCAGCAGCCGCGGUAAUACGAAGGGGGCUAGCGUUGUUCGGAUUUACUGGGCGUAAAGCGCACGUAGGCGGACUAUUAAGUCAGGGGUGAAAUCCCGGGGCUCAACCCCGGAACUGCCUUUGAUACUGGUAGUCUUGAGUUCGAGAGAGGUGAGUGGAAUUCCGAGUGUAGAGGUGAAAUUCGUAGAUAUUCGGAGGAACACCAGUGGCGAAGGCGGCUCACUGGCUCGAUACUGACGCUGAGGUGCGAAAGCGUGGGGAGCAAACAGGAUUAGAUACCCGUGUAGUCCCAU
rnacentral:rRNA from 1 species